CCUACGGGAGGCAGCAGUGAGGAAUAUUGGUCAAUGGACGAGAGUCUGAACCAGCCAAGUAGCGUGAAGGAUGACUGCCCUAUGGGUUGUAAACUUCUUUUAUAUGGGAAUAAAAUGUUCCACGUGUGGGAUUUUGUAUGUACCAUAUGAAUAAGGAUCGGCUAACUCCGUGCCAGCAGCCGCGGUAAUACGGAGGAUCCGAGCGUUAUCCGGAUUUAUUGGGUUUAAAGGGAGCGUAGGUGGAUUGUUAAGUCAGUUGUGAAAGUUUGCGGCUCAACCGUAAAAUUGCAGCUGAAACUGGCAGUCUUGAGUACAGUAGAGGUGGGCGGAAUUCGUGGUGUAGCGGUGAAAUGCUUAGAUAUCACGAAGAACUCCGAUUGCGAAGGCAGUUCACUGGACUGCAACUGACACUGAGGCUCGAAAGUGUGGGUAUCAAACAGGAUUAGAUACCCGAGUAGUC
rnacentral:rRNA from 1 species